UUAAAACUUAAAUAAAUCAUUUAAAUUUUAACAUCGAAAUUGUCUCAAAUUUAUUCUCAGAAUGGAGAGAGUACAAAUGUACAAUAACUAAAAGAGUAACUUAAGUAUCCAAAACAUAUGAAUGGAGCUACUAAACAGCACCAAACAAAACCAUUUCGAGUCUUCCCAUCCAUCAACCUUGCUCAGACUUACAAUCUGUACCGAGAGGGCCAGGGCCAUGAUGUGAAUGGCUUCCGCUUACAGCUGCAUUGUCAAUUAUUUUUCAAUUAACCCCUCAAUUAUCAAAUUGAACACCUGUUAUAGAUGAGAAUCUUUGAUCAAAUUUUUCUCAAUUUCAUAUCACGUGCUAAUUAUGCGUUGGUUUAAUGAGAAUCUUUGUUAUUUGACUAUGUAAAAUACUCAUUUCACGCAGUCAAAUUUUAGUCAUGAGAACUAGGUAUUUUACUUCAUCAAAUAACAACGAUGCACUCAUUAACAGACGCAUGACUACCGUCAUUAAACAAUCGUAUGACUCAGCACCGGCCCUGGGCUAAAGCCCAAGGUGCCUGGGCUUUAGGCCAAUUAAAAUUUCUAACUUUUUAGAGUUCCUAAGAGGUAUUUGUCUUAUGUAUAUAUAUACCCAAACAAAAUAAACCAGCCCACGUCAGUUUAAAUUUAAAAGAUCACAAAAAAUUUACCCAAUAAAAUAGGUCCAAAUUUUUUUAUUGUCGCUUUAGGUCAGUCAAAACUCAGGGCCGGCCUGACAUGACUCGCAUGACUAGCAAAACCGUAACUUGAAAUUGGGAAAAAAAAAUCAACAAAAAGUACAAAAUUGAUAGUAUUUACUUUAAUAAUUGAACAGCUACUUUGAAAAAUUAAAUGACAACUUGACGGACAGACCUGUUUUCAAUAUUCAUGAAAAUAAAAUAUCAAUUAUAUUAACUAUUACUCACCUGAUCCAGUAUCCAUGCCUCCUAAAUUUCUUCCAGCCGUUACAGGAGAGACUAGCAGAAACAAAACCAAACAGAAGACAGAGAUCAUAAUAAGACUUAUAAUAUCUUUUGGUGCCAUUUUUGCCAAUAAGCUGCGGCUAAGAAAUUUUGUUGGUUUUUCUAUUGAGCAAAGAAUGGUUAUAUAUUUUCCCUCUUCA
rnacentral:lncRNA from 1 species